rnacentral:rRNA from 1 species
UUAAUAUUCCCGUACUUCUUACAAUUGCGAUGGGGGGACGGAGAAGGCUAGGUGGGCCUGGCGACGGUUGUCCAGGUUCAAGUGCGUAGGCUGAGUGUUUAGGUAAAUCCGGACACUCUUAAGGCUGAGACACGACGUCGAGCUACUACGGUAGUGAAGUCAUUGAUGCCAUGCUUCCAGGAAAAGCCUCUAAGCUUCAGAUUGUAAGGAAUCGUACCCCAAACCGACACAGGUGGUCGGGUAGAGAAUACCAAGGCGCUUGAGAGAACUCGGGUGAAGGAACUAGGCAAAAUGGUACCGUAACUUCGGGAGAAGGUACGCUCUUGAUGGUGAAGUCCCUUGCGGAUGGAGCUGACGAGAGUCGCAGAUACCAGGUGGCUGCAACUGUUUAUUAAAAACACAGCACUGUGCAAAAUCGUAAGAUGACGUAUACGGUGUGACGCCUGCCCGGUGCCGGAAGGUUAAUUGAUGGGGUUAGCGUAAGCGAAGCUCUUGAUCGAAGCCCCGGUAAACGGCGGCCGUAACUAUAACGGUCCUAAGGUAGCGAAAUUCCUUGUCGGGUAAGUUCCGACCUGCACGAAUGGCGUAAUGAUGGCCACGCUGUCUCCACCCGAGACUCAGUGAAAUUGAAAUCGCUGUGAAGAUGCAGUGUACCCGCGGCUAGACGGAAAGACCCCGUGAACCUUUACUACAGCUUGGCACUGAACAUUGAACCUACAUGUGUAGGAUAGGUGGGAGGCUUUGAAGACGUGACGCCAGUUGCGUUGGAGCCGUCCUUGAAAUACCACCCUUGUAUGUUUGAUGUUCUAACGUUGGCCCCUAAUCGGGGUUGCGGACAGUGCCUGGUGGGUAGUUUGACUGGGGCGGUCUCCUCCCAAAGAGUAACGGAGGAGCACGAAGGUGGGCUAAUCACGGUUGGACAUCGUGAGGUUAGUGCAAUGGCAUAAGCCCGCUUAACUGCGAGAAUGACGGUUCGAGCAGGUGCGAAAGCAGGUCAUAGUGAUCCGGUGGUUCUGAAUGGAAGGGCCAUCGCUCAACGGAUAAAAGGUACUCCGGGGAUAACAGGCUGAUACCGCCCAAGAGUUCAUAUCGACGGCGGUGUUUGGCACCUCGAUGUCGGCUCAUCACAUCCUGGGGCUGAAGUCGGUCCCAAGGGUAUGGCUGUUCGCCAUUUAAAGUGGUACGCGAGCUGGGUUUAGAACGUCGUGAGACAGUUCGGUCCCUAUCUGCCGUGGGCGUUGGAAGAUUGAAGGGGGCUGCUCCUAGUACGAGAGGACCGGAGUGGACGAACCUCUGGUGUUCGGGUUGUGUCGCCAGACGCAUUGCCCGGUAGCUAAGUUCGGAAUCGAUAACCGCUGAAAGCAUCUAAGCGGGAAGCGAGCCCUGAGAUGAGUCUU